AGUUCAGCACCUGUGAAGCAAAGCCAAGAAGUGGCACCUGCAGGCUGGCAGAGCUAUCACUGGUCCUGAAGCUGAGAGACAGUUUCUUAGAGGGAAGUCAGAAGUCGCCCACACAAUCUUCACAGACACCAGCUUUACCAUAACAUUUGAAUACAGUGGCAACUUCCUGUCCCGAAGCCUCGCCUUUUCUGGUACUUCUGCCCGAGCAACUGUAGGGUUCCCAGGAACAUCUUGACUGAGUUCCCCACUUCCACGACACCACGGUGGCAGGUGCCGAACAUCUCCUGGUCACCUGUGAUCUAUCAAAUCCACAAAUAUCUCUGGAGAAACACCUCUGAAGGGCCAACAGGGAUAGUAGCAAGCAGCGGAAACUGUCCCUGAAGCCAAAUGGAGCCUUCCCUUGUUCACCGUGGCUUUUUGGAUCACCACAUUUUCCUAGUUUUUCUACAAAUCAAUUUUCU
ensembl:lincRNA Gm45055 predicted gene 45055